GAGUGCGAUCAUACCAGCGUUAAUGCACCAGAUCCCAUCAGAACUCCGCAGUUAAGCGUGCUUGGGCCAGAGUAGUACUGGGAUGGGUGACCUCCCGGGAAGUUCUGUUGUUGCACCCU
rnacentral:rRNA from 1 species